CCAUGAACAUUUGUGUGCUGAUCACGAACACGUGUACGUUAAUCUCCUGUUAAUCUGUUAAUCACUUCUGUUAAUCUUCUGAGCCUGUAUCGCACCACAUUUGAUGAAAUUGUUGAUUUUCGAAAACGAGGGCAAUAAAACGUGACCAAAGAU
rnacentral:lncRNA from 1 species